GUGAGUAAUGCUUAGGAAUCUGCCUAUUAGUGGGGGACAACGUUCCGAAAGGAGCGCUAAUACCGCAUACGUCCUACGGGAGAAAGCAGGGGACCUUUGGGCCUUGCGCUAAUAGAUGAGCCUAAGUCGGAUUAGCUAGUUGGUAGGGUAAAGGCCUACCAAGGCGACGAUCUGUAGCGGGUCUGAGAGGAUGAUCCGCCACACUGGGACUGAGACACGGCCCAGACUCCUACGGGAGGCAGCAGUGGGGAAUAUUGGACAAUGGGGGGAACCCUGAUCCAGCCAUGCCGCGUGUGUGAAGAAGGCCUUUUGGUUGUAAAGCACUUUAAGCGAGGAGGAGGCUACCUAGAUUAAUACUUUAGGAUAGUGGACGUUACUCGCAGAAUAAGCACCGGCUAACUCUGUGCCAGCAGCCGCGGUAAUACAGAGGGUGCGAGCGUUAAUCGGAUUUACUGGGCGUAAAGCGUGCGUAGGCGGCCAAUUAAGUCAAAUGUGAAAUCCCCGAGCUUAACUUGGGAAUUGCAUUCGAUACUGGUUGGCUAGAGUAUGGGAGAGGAUGGUAGAAUUCCAGGUGUAGCGGUGAAAUGCGUAGAGAUCUGGAGGAAUACCGAUGGCGAAGGCAGCCAUCUGGCCUAAUACUGACGCUGAGGUACGAAAGCAUGGGGAGCAAACAGGAUUAG
rnacentral:rRNA from 1 species